GGGUAAAGGAUGGGUCGGGAGGCAGUAGAGAGAAGACAUUGCUGGAAGUGGCAGCAGAGGAGAUCACAUGACCACAUCAAUAAGAAUGGAGAAAGACUGGAGUCACAUGACUGAGAAGAUACUAAACUUCACCCUGGAGAUCAUCUACCUGCUGACUGGAGAGAGAUUUCCUCUUGUGAA